rnacentral:rRNA from 1 species
AAGAUGGCGACCGGCGCACGGGUGAGUAACACGUAUCCAACCUGCCGAUAACUCGGGGAUAGCCUUUCGAAAGAAAGAUUAAUACCGGAUGGCAUACGAAUAUCGCAUGAUAUUUUUAUUAAAGAAUUUCGGUUAUCGAUGGGGAUGCGUUCCAUUAGUUUGUUGGCGGGGUAACGGCCCACCAAGACUACGAUGGAUAGGGGUUCUGAGAGGAAGGUCCCCCACAUUGGAACUGAGACACGGUCCAAACUCCUACGGGAGGCAGCAUG